CCUACGGGGGGCUGCAGUAAGGGAUAUUGCACAAUGGGGGAAACCCUGAUGCAGCAACGCCGCGUGGGUGAAGAAGGCUUUCGAGUCGUAAAACCCUUUUCUAGGGGAAGAGGAAGGACAGUACCCUAGGAACAAGUCUCGGCUAACUACGUGCCAGCAGCCGCGGUAAGACGUAGGAGGCGAGCGUUAUCCGGAUUCAUUGGGCGUAAAGGGCAAGUAGGCGGUUGUCAAAGUUGGGCGUGACAUCUCCUGGCUCAACUAGGAGAGGUCGUUCAAAACUAGGCAACUAGAGGGCAGAAGAGGAAAGCGGAACUCCUGAUGUAGCGGUGGAAUGCUCAGAUAUCAGGAAGAACACCAGUGGCGAAGGCGGCUUUCUGGUCUGCACCUGACGCUGAGAGGCGAAGGCUAGGGUAGCGAACGGGCUUAGAUACCCGUGUAGUC
rnacentral:rRNA from 1 species